UCGUCUUCAUUUUUGUAAUGGGGGCUGUAUAUAGGUAUCCGCGAAUGCUGUUUUUUUUGUGUUUUUGAUUUUAAGCUUGAUAAAAUAAAAUAAAAUAAAAUAAAAUAAAAUACAAAUAGAGUAAAACAAAAUUAAAUAAAACAAAACAAAAUAAGAUAAAACAAAAUAAAAUAGUAAAGUAAAACAAAACAAAACAAAAUAAAAUAAUGGACAUAAAAAACAUAAU
rnacentral:lncRNA from 1 species